AUUGAACGCUGGCGGCAGGCUUAACACAUGCAAGUCGAGCGGUGUGAUGGUGCUUGCACUAUCACUUAGCGGCGGACGGGUGAGUAAUGCUUAGGAAUCUGCCUAUUAGUGGGGGACAACAUCUCGAAAGGGAUGCUAAUACCGCAUACGUCCUACGGGAGAAAGCAGGGGAUCACUUGUGACCUUGCGCUAAUAGAUGAGCCUAAGUCGGAUUAGCUAGUUGGUGGGGUAAAGGCCUACCAAGGUGACGAUCUGUAGCGGGUCUGAGAGGAUGAUCCGCCACACUGGGACUGAGACACGGCCCAGACUCCUACGGGAGGCAGCAGUGGGGAAUAUUGGACAAUGGGGGGAACCCUGAUCCAGCCAUGCCGCGUGUGUGAAGAAGGCCUUAUGGUUGUAAAGCACUUUAAGCGAGGAGGAGGCUCUUUUGGUUAGUACCCAAGAUGAGUGGACGUUACUCGCAGAAUAAGCACCGGCUAACUCUGUGCCAGCCGCCGCCGUAA
rnacentral:rRNA from 1 species